CCAGACUCCUACGGGAGGCAGCAGUGGGGAAUAUUGCACAAUGGGGGAAACCCUGAUGCAGCGACGCCGCGUGAAGGACGAAGUACUUCGGUACGUAAACUUCUAUCAGCAGGGAAGAAAAUGACGGUACCUGACCAAGAAGCCCCGGCUAACUACGUGCCAGCAGCCGCGGUAAUACGUAGGGGGCAAGCGUUAUCCGGAUUUACUGGGUGUAAAGGGAGCGUAGACGGCGAUGCAAGUCUGAAGUGAAAGGCGGGGGCCCAACCCCCGGACUGCUUUGGAAACUGUAUGGCUGGAGUGCAGGAGAGGUAAGUGGAAUUCCUAGUGUAGCGGUGAAAUGCGUAGAUAUUAGGAGGAACACCAGUGGCGAAGGCGGCUUACUGGACUGUAACUGACGUUGAGGCUCGAAAGCGUGGGGAGCAAACAGGAUUAGAUACCCGUGUAAA
rnacentral:rRNA from 1 species